UGGGGAAUAUUUGACAAUGGGCGAAAGCCUGAUCCAGCCAUGCCGCGUGUGUGAAGAAGGUCUUCGGAUUGUAAAGCACUUUAAGUUGGGAGGAAGGGCAUUAACCUAAUACGUUAGUGUUUUGACGUUACCGACAGAAUAAGCACCGGCUAACUCUGUGCCAGCAGCCGCGGUAAUACAGAGGGUGCAAGCGUUAAUCGGAAUUACUGGGCGUAAAGCGCGCGUAGGUGGUUUGUUAAGUUGGAUGUGAAAUCCCCGGGCUCAACCUGGGAACUGCAUUCAAAACUGACUGACUAGAGUAUGGUAGAGGGUGGUGGAAUUUCCUGUGUAGCGGUGAAAUGCGUAGAUAUAGGAAGGAACACCAGUGGCGAAGGCGACCACCUGGACUAAUACUGACACUGAGGUGCGAAAGCGUGGGGAGCAAACA
rnacentral:rRNA from 1 species